rnacentral:snRNA from 1 species
GAAUAUGAGGGCAAUCUGGCUAUGACAGCUGUCAUCUCGUUGAUGACCAGGGUUGGUUCCACUGAUCGGGCAGGCUGGAUGGAUAUCCUCUUCUUCCCUCACUUCUCCAUACAUUUCCUUUCCCAAACUGUGUAUCCAAAGAAGAUGGCCUUUUCAGGUAUACAAGGCCCCUCGGGGGCUGAGCUGCAAGGGUACGCUCAGCCCAAGAAUGUGCCU